CAACCUGCCCUUCAGAGGGGGGUAACAACGGGAAACCGUUGCUAAUACCGCGUACGAUUCACAGGCGGCAUCGCUUGUGAAUGAAAGGUGGCCUCUAUAUAUAAGCUAUCGCUGAAGGAGGGGAUUGCGUCUGAUUAGCUAGUUGGAGGGGUAACGGCCCACCAAGGCAAUGAUCAGUAGCCGGUCUGAGAGGAUGAACGGCCACAUUGGGACUGAGACACGGCCCAA
rnacentral:rRNA from 1 species